UACAGAGGUCCCAAGCGUUGUUCGGAUUCACUGGCGUAAAGGGUGCGUAGGCGGUCGGGUAAGUCUGAUGUGAAAUCUCACAGCUUAACUGUGAAACUGCAUUGGAUACUAUUCGGCUUGAGAGUUGGAGGGGGACUGGAAUUCUUGGUGUAGCAGUGAAAUGCGUAGAUAUCAAGAGGAACACCAGUGGCGAAGGCGAGUCCCUGGACAACUUCUGACGCUGAGGCACGAAAGCUAAGGGAGCAAACAGG
rnacentral:rRNA from 1 species